rnacentral:rRNA from 1 species
GAGGAGGGGGUUUGGCGGGCCUUGUCCCACCGAAGCCUAGGGAACUGCCCAGUCGAGGGGGAUAACAGUUGGAAACGACUGCUAAUACCGCAUACGCCCUACGGGGGAAAGAAGGGGACCUUCGGGCCUUUCGCGAUUGGAUGUACCUAGGUGGGAUUAGCUAGUAGGUGAGGUAAUGGCUCACCUAGGCGACGAUCCCUAGCUGUUCUGAGAGGAUGAUCAGCCACACUGGGACUGAGACACGGCCCAGACUCCUACGGGAGGCAGCAGUGGGGAAUAUUGCACAAUGGGCGCAAGCCUGAUGCAGCCAUGCCGCGUGUGUGAAGAAGGCCUUCGGGUUGUAAAGCACUUUCAGCGAGGAGGAAAGGUUAACGGUUAAUACCCGUUAGCUGUGACGUUACUCGCAGAAGAAGCACCGGCUAACUUCGUGCCAGCAGCCGCGGUAAUACGAG